AGGGCUCCACACGGGAGAUGGUACCGUUGAAGAGCUUCAACAUCACGUCCAGCUUCUGGAACCAGGUCUCGGUGUGGUUAGAGGCCAUCCUGGUCCUGGGCCCAACGCUGAAUAAACAACUUGCUUAGCGACGGAAAUCCUGGUCCUGAUGGAGGUCGUAUGUUGAGGGCUUGUCUGGGCCACACCUCACUGAAGGACCGGUGCAAAAAUCGUCUCUACGGUUA